CCUACGGGUGGCAGCAGUGAGGAAUAUUGGUCAAUGGGCGAGAGCCUGAACCAGCCAAGUCGCGUGAGGGAAGACGGUCCUAUGGAUUGUAAAACUCUUUUGCCGGGGAGCAAAAAGCGGUACGUGUACCGCAUCGAGAGUACCCGGAGAAAAAGCAUCGGCUAACUCCGUGCCAGCAGCCGCGGUAAUACGGAGGAUGCGAGCGUUAUACGGAUUGAUGGGGUUGAAAGGGUGCGCAGGCGGCGAGUUAAGUCAGCGGUAAAAUUUCGGGGCUCAACCCCGACGAGCCGUUGAAACUGGCGUGCUAGAGUGGGCGAGAAGUAUGCGGAAUGCGUGGUGUAGCGGUGAAAUGCAUAGAUAUCACGCAGAACUCCGAUUGCGAAGGCAGCAUACCGGCGCCCAACUGACGCUCAGGCACGAAAGCGUGGGUAUCGAACAGGAUUAGAUACCCUUGUAGUC
rnacentral:rRNA from 1 species